rnacentral:rRNA from 1 species
UACGUAGGGUGCGAGCGUUAAUCGGAAUUACUGGGCGUAAAGCGUGCGCAGGCGGUUCGUGAUGUCUGGUGUGAAAGCCCCGGGCUUAACCUGGGAAUUGCAUUGGAAACUAGCGGGCUGGAGUGUGGCAGAGGGGGGGUGGAAUUCCACGUGUAGCAGUGAAAUGCGUAGAGAUGUGGAGGAACACCGAUGGCGAAGGCAGGUCUCUGGGCUGUAACUGACGCUGAGGAGCGAAAGCAUGGGGAGCGAACAGG